GUGGCUCAAGAUCUAACAAAUUGUGAUUGGGAGUGGACUAUGAACCGUUUCAUGUUACAUAGUUUAACCUAUCUAUACAUUGUAUUUAGCCUUUUUUCUGUAGUUAAUGACAUCACGGACAUGUUCAAAGGACUUUGUUUUUAACAUUCCGUUAGUGUGUUUUGCCCCUUUUUCCUCUUAUGGUGGUAGGAGCACCUGGAUUCUCAGGUGAGCUUUAGUCACUGUCCGGAACCUGGGGUGAAGAAGUGACAAGUGUUGAGCCCUUGUGGGAGCUGGCGCUGGCCGACACUGGGAAACGACUGUGCUAUCAUUUAGGAAGCCAUAAGCUUUGUGCAGCAAGGGCCUGCUGAGGCAGGGUAGUUCAUCAGUGGGCUUCUUCCCUUUCCUCCGGUGACAUCACUGCCCAGCUGAGAUGAAGUUUACAUGCUGACUUUACUUCAGGGAGAAAGAGGUUGCACAUACACCCUGCCUCUAACCUCUACAGCAGCUUGUUGAGUGCUCCGCAUGCUCUGUGCAGCGAGCAGAGGUUACCUCCGACCACGCGGGGGCCGUUGCAGCCCCUGCCCCCGCCCCCAGAAGCAGUUAAGGCAGUGGGACUGCGGGUGAGGCUUCAGGAAAUGCAUUCCACGGCUGGAGCAGCCCCUGUAUGAAGAUUUCAUUUGUGCGGGAGAAACCAGAGAAAGACAGAUGUGCAAAGAAGGCUACCAGGGAGUCCGUUGUGAUCAGUUUCUGCCAAAAACUGACUCCAUCUUAUCGGAUCCAAGUGAGAGAGAGAACCUAGAUGUCUAUUCCGUCAGAGCUAUUGGAAGCACAAUUCUACAAGAGUAACAACCUAAUAUAUGCAUGAAACAAUAAAAGAAGAUAACUCAAGAAACAUACAAAAUUUUAAACCAAUAAAAUGUUUAUUGAUUAGAUAUUCCAAUGAGCC
rnacentral:lncRNA from 1 species